GAAAGCCUACGGGACGCAGCAGUGGGGAACAUUGCACAAUAGGGGAAACCCUGAUGCAGCGACGCCGCGUGAGUGAAGAAGUAUUUCGGUAUGUAAAGCUCUAUCAGCAGGAACGAGACAAGACGGUACCUGACUAAGAAGCCCCGGCUAACCACGUGCCAGCAGCCGCGGUAAUACGUAGGGGGGCAAGCGUUAUCCGGAAUCACUGGGCGUAAAGGGAGCGUAGACGGCUGUGCAAGCCUGAAGUGCAAGGCGGGGGCCCAACCCCCGGACUGCUUCGGGAACUGUACGGCUG
rnacentral:rRNA from 1 species